AGCAGCCGCGGUAAUUCCAGCUCCAAUAGCGUAUAUUAAAGUUGUUGCAGUUAAAAAGCUCGUAGUUGAAUUUCGGGGUCAGUAGGUUGUUCGUGCCACGGGUAUGUACUGGUCUCACUGAUUCCUCCUUCCUGAUGAACCGUAAUGCCAUUAAUUUGGUGUUGCGGGGAAACUGGACUGUUACUUUGAAAAAAUUAGAGUGUUUAAAGCAGGCUAACGCUUGAAUACAUUAGCAUGGAAUAAUGAAAUAGGACGUUCGAUCUUAUUUUGUUUGGUUUCUAGGAUUGACGUAAUGAUUAAUAGGGAUAGUUGGGGGCAUUAGUAUUCAAUUGUCAGAGGUGAAAUUCUUGGAUUUAUCGAAGACUAACUACUGCGAAAGCAUUUGCCAAGGAUGUUUUCAUUAAUCAAAAACGAAAGUUAGGGGAUCGAAGACGAUCAGAUACCGUCGUAGCUUAACCAUAAACUAUGCCGACUAGGGAUCGGAUGAUGUUAAUUUUUUAAUGACUCAUUCGGCGACCUU
rnacentral:rRNA from 1 species